CAUGGCUCAGAUUGAACGCUGGCGGAAUGCUUUACACAUGCAAGUCGAGCGGCAGCGCGGGGGCAACCCUGGCGGCGAGCGGCGAACGGGUGAGUAACAUAUCGGAACGUACCCAGACGUGGGGGAUAACACAUCGAAAGAUGUGCUAAUACCGCAUACGACCUGAGGGUGAAAGGGGGGGAUCGCAAGACCUCUCGCGUUUGGAGCGGCCGAUAUCGGAUUAGCUAGUUGGUGGGGUAAAGGCUCACCAAGGCGACGAUCCGUAGCUGGUCUGAGAGGACGACCAGCCACACUGGAACUGAGACACGGUCCAGACUCCUACGGGAGGCAGCAGUGGGGAAUUUUGGACAAUGGGGGCAACCCUGAUCCAGCCAUUCCGCGUGAGUGAAGAAGGCCUUCGGGUUGUAAAGCUCUUUCGGCAGGAACGAAACGGUGGAGGCUAAUAUCCUUCAUC
rnacentral:rRNA from 1 species